UACGUAGGCAGCAAACGUUGUUCGGAGUUACUGGGCGUAAAGAGUACGUAGGCGGUUUGCCAAGUUUGGUGUGAAAUCUCCUGGCUUAACUGGGAGGGUGCGCCGAAUACUGGCGAACUUGAGUAUUGGAGAGGAAAGCGGAAUUCCUGGUGUAGCGGUGAAAUGCGUAGAUAUCAGGAGGAACACCGGUGGUGUAGACGGCUUUCUGGACAAUCACUGACGCUGAGGUACGAAAGCGUGGGUAGCAAACAGG
rnacentral:rRNA from 1 species